AUAUGUACGGGACAGCAACAGUCGAUUCGAAUUAAGGCAAGAUACUCCGACUCCGACGGCUGACCAGACCAAACAAAAGCAGGCAAAGGAAACUGUGACAGAUCAAGAGAUAGAGCUUUGAGAUAAAGGGGAGCUGGUACCUUGCUAGUCAGGGUAAGAGUUUUGUGUUGGGGAUGUGUUUGUGUAAUCCCCUAGAGUAUAUUAUGGAUUUUUGGGAUGUGUAUGGAUGUAUAGAACUCUGGUUAUUUGUAUUCUGGAUGGUUUGUAAAUAUUGACUUCCGCUGUAGGGUAUGUUUGUAUGAGAUAGUCUGAUUACCUAGUACUCUAUUUCGGAUCGGGUUAUGUUGAUAUGGUAUCAGAGUUUGUGAUGUGGCAGAUGAUUGUUUAUAUAUAUAAAAAAAAAAAUUUGUAUGAAAAAUCAG